GAUCCUGGCUCAGGACGAACGCUGGCGGCGCGCCUAACACAUGCAAGUCGAACGAGAGAUGAGGAGCUUGCUCUUCAAAUCGAGUGGCGAACGGGUGAGUAACGCGUGAGGAACCUGCCUCAAAGAGGGGGACAACAGUUGGAAACGACUGCUAAUACCGCAUAAGCCCACAGCUCGGCAUCGAGCAGAGGGAAAAGGAGUGAUCCGCUUUGAGAUGGCCUCACGUCCGAUUAG
rnacentral:rRNA from 1 species